GGGAAUUAAGAAAUAUUCUGGAAAUUCCCACUAAUUUGAAUUUGACCCCUUUUUGGAAGGAUAUCCUGUGUCCUCCGCUGGGAUGAGGGCUUGUCCCCUCUGGGACUUGAGGCUUCCCAAAGGUUUUGUUUGGAAUAACUAUUGCUGAUCCUCCUGCCCGGCUGCUCUUCACACUCCACCCGCUCUGAUCGCACCAAUUACUCCAACAAAAGACAAAAAUUUGCAUUUCCAAGGGAGUUUCCCUCCUCCGCUGUGCCCUCAGCAGGGAUGUCCUUCACCCCAUCGGGGUCAAUGAGCCAUGAGUGGGACUCAUGUGACAGUCCCGACACACUUCCCAGGGGAAUUUCUUUCCUAAUGACAUUUAAACCGCUCAUUACUCCUUGACUGUGCCAGAGGUUUGGCUGAGUGCGGCUGCGGCUCCGUUAUUGCUCAGGAUCCCUGGAGCAGGGGCUGGGAAUCUGGACGUGGGGAAAGGGUGAACCUCUCUUAGCUCCCCUCCGAGAUACUCAGCUGCAAACCCCAAAGGCUUGGGCAUCCGAGGAAAGUCUAUUUCACUUUUUCUUUUCUUUUCUUUUUUUUUUUUAUUUUUUUUUUGGCCAUUUUCAGCUCAUCUGUUGGGAUUUUUUUGCCUUCCUGAAAGCAGGAAUGAGACGAGGUCUCCAAAGAGUCUCUGCUCCACAUUUCCACCCAAUUUUCUUGGCCUGAGGGGUUGCACGAGUUCGGAGAAGCCUUCAAGCCUCUGAGCGUUCUCCCCAGAGCUGCGCUGGUGACAGAAAGGAUCUCCAGAACUGCUCCACUCCGUCCCCCCGCAAUUCCCAACUUCCUGAGUUUCUCCCAGCUCCGCUCCAGCCCCGCUCCGACCCUGAGGAGAAGCAGCUUUGCAGAAUUCCUGAGGAAAAGGCGCUCCAGCCCCGGCUGCUGCCGGGAAAAGCCAUCGGAGCUGCCCUCAGCCUGCACCGGGAGAGCAGCAGCCCAGGG
rnacentral:lncRNA from 1 species